UUGAAAUAUGAGAAACACUUCGAAAUAUGAUAUUAGUGAAGCACAAAAAAUUAGGAUACCCUAAUUAUAUUACUAGGACUAUUAAGAGGAGCCUCUCCGUCACUCGCAAAUUGGGACUACGAUUGUAUGGAGUAAGUGACAGAGAGAGCCCUGUUAAAGACCGGUCAAAUGACCAAUUGUCAAAUAGCCGCCUCUAUUCAUCAUACGAAAAAAUAUUCAUUCAAGCCAUCAAUUUUUUAGUGUCAAGUGAAAAUGAUUAGGGAUAAAAUUACAAGAAAAACUGUGUUUUUAAUUUUUCAUUAUGUUAAAAAAUUAGUGACGUAAUUUAGAUCAAAGUACCUAUCCGAAGUUUUUUCAGAAUUACUUUAGCAUUAUGACGUCACGAGUGAAGAUGUACAAUGUUGGUUAUCCUGCUAUACACAGUCUCUUAACUAAACAGUCAGGUAUACAGGGUGUAAUUAAAAAGCUAGCGAAAACUUAGCGCUAUUAUUAUCACACUAAUAUUAUAAAGGCAAAAGUUUGUAUGCGUGUGUGUGUGUGUGUCACACAUACAAUACCCAUUUGCCUCAUACUUGUAGUUUUAGUGAUUUAGUAUUUUUCAAACACGCAAUGUAUAGCGUGCAAAACUCGGGGUCAAUGCCACGCCUAAGACGUAGCGUUGACCCUGUGGCACCUAUCUAUGCUAAGAUCGUUGUCCUCUAGCGUCAGUCAGAUGUUUUAUUUGCAAUGCAUUGUGAACUUU